rnacentral:rRNA from 1 species
UACAGAGGGUGCGAGCGUUUAAUCGGAAUUACUGGGCGUAAAGCGCGCGUAGGCGGCUUUGCAAGUCGGGUGUGAAAUCCCCAGGCUUAACCUGGGAACUGCAUUCGAGACUGCAUUGCUAGAGUAUGGGAGAGGGAAGUGGAAUUUCAGGUGUAGCGGUGAAAUGCGUAGAGAUGUGGAGGAACACCAGUGGCGAAGGCGGCUUUCUGGUCUGUAACUGACGCUGAGGCGCGAAAGCGUGGGGAGCAAACAGG